AGGAGGAACAGCCCCAGUGGCGGGGCCAGGUCUGGAAACCUGGAUUCAGCUCCGGCAGGAACUCCGUCUGCAGGGCCUGGAGGCUCUGGGGCGGG
rfam:Canis lupus familiaris chromosome X, whole genome shotgun sequence.